rnacentral:rRNA from 1 species
GACGUAGGAUGCAAGCGUUGUCCGGAAUUAUUGGGCGUAAAGAGUUCGUAGGCGGUUUCUUAAGUCUGGUGUUAAAGACGGGAGCUCAACUCCCGCAUGGCAUUGGAUACUGGCAGACUUGAGUGUGGUAGAGGCAAUCGGAAUUCCAGGUGUAGCGGUGAAAUGCGUAGAUAUCUGGAAGAACACCGGUGGCGCAAGCGGAUUGCUGGGCCAUAACUGACACUGAGGAACGAAAGCUAGGGGAGCAAAUGGG